rnacentral:lncRNA from 1 species
UCGUACCUUUCAGGUUUGAGCCAGUGAGAACAAGGGCUAAAAGAGAGGUCAUGUUCGCUAACCGAACAGGAAUUUGGGAUGUAAAAGAGUUGAAAUCCAUUGCCAACACAUACAUUUGAGUGAGGUUGAGAAGCUGAUUUACAGGAACUUUCCCCAUAAUUUUGCAAUUGGAUAACCAAAGCGAUCUAAGAUUGAAAAGAUCUGAUAAAGGAUUAGCCCAUUGAGGGAACUUGGAAGCCUCUGAUAGAUCAACGCCGCUCAAAAAUAGUCCCCUUAGAUUGCGCAGACCCUUCAACCAAUCCAAAUUGGAAGAAGAAAGAUAGCCACCAGGGAUGUAUGUAUAUUCAACACCAGCUCGCACUGUCAGUUGAGAAGAUAAAUUAUAUGAAAUGGAUGAAAAAUCUGGCACUUGCAAAGAACACGAAAGAUCCAACCAUCUUAGAGAUGUAAGGUUGGCAAGUUGUGUUGUGAUGGAAUCACUGAACAUAGAAUUUGAUAGGUUUAGAUAAGUAAGGUGAGUAAGGUUUGCUAUUCUAGUAGGUAUUCUUGAAAACUGGAAGUUGUUGAAGCUAAGAUCAAGGUGACGGAUGUGAGCAAGAGUGAAAAGAGAAGAAGAGAUGGAGCCAAUGAGGGCAGACGAUGUGGAGUUGGAACUGGAAACCAGUUCAGAAGUCAUAUUAACUAUGAAGCUUGUCGGAUUGGGGUUCCGGAGGUCAACAGAGACAACAUGGAGCAUGUUGGAGCAACGAAUCCCAUGCCAAGUGCAGCAGUUUCGGCCGUUCCAUGAGGACAACCGAUUUGAUGGGUCUGCAAGUUGGGAUUUGAAACUUAACAAGGCUGCUCUUUCAUUGUCAAGACAGCAGGUGAUAGCUGAAAUAUUUGAGACAAAGCAAAUGAAGAGAGCUAGCCAAUUCUGGAGUUUCAUGGCAAUAAGAUAUUGUGGAUUCUACCUCUUGCUGAAUUCUACAGAAGUUAUGGAAACACUAGUUUGUGCUGGUGAGUUAUAGGUGAGGCUCUGCUGCCCGAGUGGCGAUGUUUCAAGUUUGUGAUAUUAUUAAUUACAGGUUGACAAGGUAAGUGAUAAUGGACGCCUGGCAUUUGCUUAUGUAUGGUAUGAUCUAACAAUGUUUUUAAAGAAAUUUGUUUGAUGUCAUUCACUUGAAAUUGCAAGUGUAUGAGACGGCCCUUUGAAUUUCUGCCUAUUUAGCAAUUAAUUAAUUACCUGAGAAACUUCCCAGUUUGUUGUUUUCUGUACCUAAAUUUUCUGACCUGGUCUUCAGAACGGUGAUUUCUCUGGCAUACGAUCCAAAGAAUUGGCAGUAAUCAUCAUUGGAUCCUUGUUUUUACAGCCUCUGUUCUUGGACGAUGGGAGCCGCAAGGAGGCGGUGUCACUCUUCAGAAUGCACCAGCGUAGACUAGAGUUUGUUGUAUGAGCCUGGACCUUGGGCCUAGUUUGAUUAAUGUGCAAGCUUUUUAGCUUCCAAAUAAAAAUUUAUUUCUAAAUACAAAAAUUUAAAUUUCUCAUACAUAUCAUAACAAAAUUAUCAAUUAAUAGAAAAAACAAAACGAUAUUAUUUCAGAAAUGAUAAUCAUCCCAUCUAAAACGGAAAUCAAGCGUUCAUGCAUUCCAAAUCUUACAUUCAUUUGUUUCGCUUCCUAGAAUCAAAAUCGUUAGCAUUGUCAUUCCUCAUCACAUUCCAAAUCUUACAUUCAUUUAUUUCGCUUCCUAACAUCAAUAUCGUUGUCAUCAUCGUCGUCAUAAUCAUUCACAUCAUCAUCGUCAUCGUCGUGAUCAAAACUCUCAAACUCGUCAACGUCAUCAAAAUCCUCCUCGCUACCUGGAUAAUCAUCCUCAAUAUCAUCGUCAUCGUACUUUAUAGAGCCACGAUAUCUGGACAGCAGAAGCGUGUUGCAUCCAUUUAGAGGAGCAUGAUAAACAGAGCCAAGAUUAGGCUGACUCCCGAGGAAAUAUUGGGCAGGGAUAGGGCCCGGUAGCUGCAAUCUUGGGUCGCCAACAAUCUUGGUUUCCAUUCGUAUGCUCCUGGAAACACCGGAAACCGAGCCACGGAGAAGAUGGACAGGGAACGACUUGCCGUUUUUUAAUAGCUUCAUCCCUGUUGCCAUUGGGGAGAACGAGACAGAAGAGGCAGAGCCUUUGGCAAAUAACUGCUUUACGUCUGUAGGGGUUUUGGAGGAAGCUAUGAUUUGGGGUUUCAAUUUAAAUCUUGAUGUAGGGUUUUUGGGAAGGCCAGGAGAGGGACACGUGGCGGCCACUACUGUUUAGAUGGUUCUGGACUCCAGAGAGUUUUUGUUUUUUUCUUUUUCUCAAAAGGACUAGACUUGGUCACUUGCGUUUCGGUUAAAUUAAUUUUUAUCACGUCAUUAAUAUGACAAUUUAUUUAAUUAAUCUUGAUUAAAAUAAGGCCUAUGCCUAUUUCACAGAAAAUCUACAAUUUUGCAGUUUUUUAUAAUUAUAGUUAAAAAUUUUAAUUUUAAACUAUAAAUUUCUAACUUUCAAUUUUAUUUAUAAUUGCAGCAUUCUAUUCAUUUAAAUUUUUUUAUUUUUAUUGAAAAAUCACAUAAAUAUUUAUCAUAAUAUAAAUUUAAUUAAAUUAAAUUAAAAUAUUAAAAAAAUUAAAUCAAAC